rnacentral:sRNA from 1 species
UGCGAUACGUCAUGUGAACUGCACUCUUCGCGAAUCAUUAAAUCUUUGAACGCAUAUGGCACCUCGAGGCACACGUCCCGAGGUAUACUUGUUUGAGCAUCCGAUACACAUCUCACUCUACCAUUGGCAGAAUGUGUGAACUGAGUGACCUUGGGAUCUAAUAGAGAGUAGUCUAUUAUUUCUUUAAAAGCAGGCAAUGGUCACAUGUUCUCUGAGAAAAAGUACACGACCAUUCAUGGGAAAAUAUCCACGACAUGAAUGGGCGUGUCACUAUCAGAAACAUAGGACAGCAACACAACACAACACCACAACGAAACCCGAUCUCAAAUCAAGUAAGAUGACCCGCUGAACUUAA